AGUGAACGCUGGCGGUAGGCCUAACACAUGCAAGUCGAACGGAUCCUUCGGGAUUAGUGGCGGACGGGUGAGUAACACGUGGGAACGUGCCCUUUGGUUCGGAACAACUCAGGGAAACUUGAGCUAAUACCGGAUGUGCCCUUCGGGGGAAAGAUUUAUCGCCAUUGGAGCGGCCCGCGUCUGAUUAGCUAGUUGGUGAGGUAAAGGCUCACCAAGGCUACGAUCAGUAGCUGGUCUGAGAGGAUGAUCAGCCACAUUGGGACUGAGACACGGCCCAAACUCCUACGGGAGGCAGCAGUGGGGAAUCUUGCGCAAUGGGCGAAAGCCUGACGCAGCCAUGCCGCGUGAAUGAUGAAGGUCUUAGGAUUGUAAAAUUCUUUCACCGGGGACGAUAAUGACGGUACCCGGAGAAGAAGCCCCGGCUAACUUCGUGCCAGCCGCCGCAGUAA
rnacentral:rRNA from 1 species